GUGCUCGCUUCAGCAGCACAUAUACUAAAAAUGGGAACAAUAUAGAGAAGAUUAGCAUGGCCCCUGUGCAAGGAUGACAUGAAAAUUUGUGAAAUGUUCCGUAUUUUU
ensembl:snRNA U6 U6 spliceosomal RNA